rnacentral:lncRNA from 1 species
ACUUGGGAGACACCCAGAAAAUGCCUGUAUCGUCAACUCAAAGCCCAUUAGAGUCAUCAGUCCUUCACCUCUGCCUGAGACACAGACAGUCUGCAAAUCUGGAUGCUUCACGUCUCAAUCAGCCUCACAUCCACCUGUCCAAGCACCUGAGACACCGGGACCCAGCAGGGCACCCACUCAGUGGCAUCUCCCAGGACAAGCCAAAUAUCAUCCCCCCACUGAGACCCACUGGGCCGCUCCAGGUGUUUCCUUGCCUCCUCUUCUGAAAAUUCGGGACUGCCAUACAGACACCUCCCGGCUCUUCUGUGUGGUCAGGCGUGGGAGAGAGCGUUUGGAAGAGAAUCGAAUUUCCUUUCUGCAUCUGUGUGCUGGUGCCCAGUGCACCCUGGGACGCUAACGAACAGUGACAGAUGAGCUUCAAUUGGCUGGCGCGUGUGAGGAACCACUGGACCAGGCAAAAGAAAGCAUCAUCGGAGCCCAGCAUGGGAGGAGGAGAGAGGCUUUGCUUCAUGAAAGCCUGAACAGCAUCCAACCGAAACCAGCCACCGCCGCCGCGCCCUGACGUGGUACUCUGCAGUUUUCAGAGUGCAUCGCAUCCAUUAUCUCCCCUGACCCACAGACAGGCCGGCGAAGAAGGCUGAUAUGAGGUCACCCAGCCCCCUUCACAACCUUGGACCAGCAAGGCCAUUGCAAUAAAAGCCGAGGUUGGGAAGAGUGAGGCUCAGAGACCACAGAGAUACUUUGACACAUGGAAAAAGGCAAGACUUCCUUCCCAGGAGAUUUAUCAUUCUUCAAAAAAAUGGGGUUCUCAAAGAUUCAAGUUCACGGUGAAGAGAUGACAGUACAAGUGCUGGGAGCAAAUCACCGGGUCGACUCCAGCAGCCGGGCAAGCCCACGAGAGGAACCUCACCGGCUUCUCCGAGAGCUCCAUGCAGGAGGGACCAGCUCAGACUCCAAGCCAAAGAAAGCACUGCAAGUGUAUUCACAAUAGGAUUUGAGAAUAUUCCUUCCAGAGCGGAGGGGCCGGCCAUGUGGGGCGCUGAAAUGAUCUGUGGACAUGGGGCCCAGCAGGACUGAGCAGAAUAGUGAUCACCCACAUGCUGAGUAUAUGCUCUAACUCCACCCCCGGGGGGGAGCACCCUGAGCGGAGCCCCAUCAUCCCAGCUUCACAAAGAGGACAUGAACAGCAGAAGGUGUGGCAAGUUGUGGAAGUCACCUGGCUGGUGUGUGUUGGAUGAGGACCUGGCAGGCUGUGCCCUCGUUCUUAACCACCGUGCUGUCUGCUCGCUCCGAUCCCAGCCCUGGUCUGACACUUGCUGGCUUGGUGUUGCCCAGCAGCAUUGUCCACGCCAUACCCUCCCAAUGUGCUCCACAAACAGUUAUCAAGUGUCUCCUCUGUGCCUCUCAUUUACAGAAGAAAUGGAUGCUGGGGGAGCCUACAUAAAUGCACACAACUGUUCCUGUCCCAAAACUUGAGCCACGGUCCCAUAAAGCCCAAUUUCUCCCCUCCUCAAAGAUGCUCUUCAGUGACAGCUGCAGUGGGGUUGGGUGCUUGCCCUCCUGGUUCACGGCAGGGCUGCUGGGCUAUGUCCAGGACAGGUAGCAGGGGAGGCAGGGAAGAGGUGGUACUCCUCCAGGCAUAAGGGUGCAGGCACAACAUGUAUUGAGAGUCAGAGUCCGUAGUCCAGAGAUCAGGACCUGAUGGGGGGCAUCUCAAAUGCUCCUUCUGCAUAUGGUCAAGGGGAGCCCAGGUGGGGUAUCCCACAGGAGCAGUCCGAGGCUCUCUUUGCUCCAGGUUCCUAGAGUACCAGGUUGAACACAGACUGGGACCAUGUCCUGCUCCAGCCCCCAGGCAAGGGUUGCCCCUUGGAGGAGCCCCUGGCCUGCACUAAGGAAAACUGAAAGAGGGAAGGUGAGAGCUGGCCUGGACAGAGCGACCAAGAGGAGAAGAAAGGCCCAGAUCAGUGGGUGGCAAAGCUGGGGGUGGGGUCGGCAGUAUGGACUGCUGUGAUCUGUCCUGGGCACCCAGGACUCCCCUGCAGGACCACAAGACUUUCUCCUCCAGAUGCUGGGAAGACUGUCAGCUGAUAAGGGCUCCAUGGUCAGCCCUCUUUAGGAGUCUAAAGAGAGCUGCAGCAUUCCCAUCAUGGCUCAGUGGUAAUGAGCCCAACUAGUAUCCAUGAGGACUCAGGUUGGAUCCCUGGCCUCGAUCAGUGGGUUAAGGAUCUGGUGUUGCUGUGAGCUGUGGUGUAGGUCGCAGAUGUGGCUCAGAUCCCACAUGGCUGUGGCUGUGGCGUAGGCCAGCACCUGCAGCUGCAAUUCGACCUCUAGUCUGGGAACUUCCAUAUGCUGCGGGUAUGGCCCUAAAAAGAAAAAAUAAAUAAAUAAAAAAGCGAGCGAGCGAGGGAGUGAGGGCGAGAGAGAGAGCGAGAGCCCUGCAUUGUCAAGGUCAUGCCUUCUCCCCAGGGAAUCCCACCUCCACUAACUGACCGUGUGGAGGUGGAGAGGCCCAGCCACUUUGCCUAAAUGCAGGACCCCUGUGGGGGGCCACCAGCUUCAGCGCUUUCCCAUGGGGCCAGCUGAGGCCAUGACUUCAUUGAACCCUGAUUUCUCCUUUGGCCAUGUCUGCUUUCUGCCAUUAUCCUGUAGGUCUGGAUGAUCAGAACACUAAUCUCUAAUUUCUAGCUCAGAGCCUGCUUCCUGGGGAACCCAACCUGUAGCAGCUACUGACUGACCCAAAUCUAACACAUACUCAAUAAAUCUGCAUCUAGUUCCUGUCGUGGAAUAGAUGUACAUGGGCACUGGGGACAGAUCCACAGAUGGAACAUCUGGCGUGGGGUCCCAUCUGUCUGGAGAACCAGACAGGUAAGCCCAUCUCAGUAAAGUGGGUGGGUGCUGUCACAGGGGUUUGCUUCUGGAGGGCCCAGCCAAGGCCACUCAUGUUUCCCCAAGGGCAUUCCUGCGUCCCAGAAUUGAAAGAGAGGAAGGAGCCAGCCUUCCUCCUUGACUCGACUCCCCCUGUAGUCAGCCUACCUGGCCUUGCGCAGGCUGCUCCUGUGCUGCUUCAGUGAUCGGACCUCCUGUGGUCUGAAGCGGCUCUGCAUAAGUACAGCCUCCUUCCUCAGAAUCUGUUCCCGCCUCUCUGUAGCUGGUCUUGUUCUCGGCCUGGGAACUUGCAGGAGUGGUCCAUUCUGGGGAUGCUGAGUGUAUCAGGGACUCCUGGACAGGUAGGAGGUGUAGUCACCGAGGGAAGCCCCCAGCACAUAGUGGUGUGGGAAGGGCUCCAUGCAUAAGUGCACAGGGAAGGGCUCUCCUGCUGGUGAGUGAAUGGACUAUUGGAGGAGGUGCCUCCUGCCUGAGCCUGAUCUCCCCUCCAGUCUUGGAGUCUGUUCUCCCAUUUGGAACAAGUGCUCUGAGGAUAAAGCAUACUUUGGGAAAUGCUGCAGGCCUUCUCAGUGCCUUCAUCCCAGUGGGCCCUGGGACCCUGCAAAAGCAGGGCAGAGUAUGCUGCAUCUCCCCAAACUUCUUCUUUUUUUUUUUUUCAGAGCAUCUCUCAGGGCCAAUGUCUUAGAGAACAUGCUUUGGAAAAAAAAAAAAAAAUGCUGCUUUCAGAAAUUUCCAGAGCUGCUCCUGUUCUUGCUCAAAAGGGAAAGAGGAAUUCUGUCCUGGUGGAGGCUCCUAGCAGAAUGGGGGCAGCGGAGGCAGUGGUAUCUGAGAGUGGAGGAGAGCAGGGUGGGUGAGGAGGGGCAGGAAGCCAGGUGCCCCGUCUGUCACCUUCCCUGGAGCUGGGGGUGACAGUGGAGGACUGUCUGGGAAGCCAGAGCAAGAAGCCUGGGGAGGCUUGGGCGGCACUCCCGAGUCCCUGUUUCCGACAAACGCUGUGCUGCAGGCUGACAAAACCAACUCGAGUGUGCACCAGGCCAUCCUGCUCUCUGCCAGUUCAGAUGCUCAGACAGCGGGCUCUGGCUUCCAUCCUCCCUGACAUCUGAAUCACGGCGAGGCAGGAGGCAGGGCCCGGCCGGCUCCGGAGCGGGGAAAUGAUAAACAGAUGUCAGAGGACAAAGGGGCAGGAUGUGCUUGGAGGUUUGUGGCACAUCAGGCCUGCUUGCAACAGCCUUUCUCGCUCGGGAACCGAGAGGGUGGCGAGACCAUGACAAAGGGAACCUGAUGGCAGAGGGGUUAAAGCCAUGGCCUUUGAAGCCUCACAGGCUGGGCAUGAUCCUGGCUCCAUCACUUGCUCAUUGUGUGAUCCCAGACGAGUUAUUUAAUCUGAUGUGUAAAGUAUGGAAAAUCAUCGUCCUUUACUCAAGACCGUGGCUUUGGAUGGAUUAAAUAAGAUGAUGCAUGAAAAAGACUUAACACAGUGCCUGGCACACCACGCUCAACAAAUUUAGUUGUUUAUGCUGCUGCUGCUGCUGUUGCUGCUGCUGCUGCUGGUAGUGCUGCUUGGGGAAUGGGUCCUGCUAGAUGAAAUGUUUAUUUGUCCAGCAAAUACACACUGUGCUCUGCUUGGUGCCAGGGGCCACGGCACCACCCUAGAUAUGACAGGCUGGGAGAGGCUGUGCCAAGAAGCCACUCUUGGCCACAGAGUGACAUCUAGACCCAGAACCCCCUGGACCAUUCUUCAAAUGAGAAGGCUAUGAAAGCAGCAGUAUGCAGGAAGCAUUGAAUGUGUCAGGACCUGACACCAUCAUCAGCUAGUGGCAGUGCAUGCCCUCCCGCAAGUUCCCUCUGCCAGACAGACUCUUAGUCAGCCUUCAAAACCCAGCCCAAAUGGCCCGUUUUUCCAGGCAGCCUUUCCCAAACAGCCUGAGCCCUCCUAGCACUUGAUGUCUGGCUUGGUUGUGGCACUUGCCAACUUCUAGUGGUGCAAAUGUUUACUCUUGUCUCUUUUUGGACUAGAGGGUGAGUGUGGGUAGGAAAUGUUUGGGGAACAAAAUAUAGUGAUACUUAGCUGUGUGGGUUAUGGAAUCAGUCAUGUGUGGGUUGAUAUCCUUGGAUACACCAAAUUUUGUGACCUUGGUGAAUUAGUUAACAUCUCUAAGCAUCAGUCACUUUACCUAUAAAGCCGAGCAAAAAUAUAGAUUUCCUGAAGCUGUUAUGAGGCUAAAAAGAGUCACUUGCCACCAAGGGCUUCGCACAGAACCUGACACACAGGAAUCACUAGGGACACUUGCUAACAUGAUUGGCUUUCUAUCUUUGUGUCUGUCUAGUCUUACCCUGGUUCUUGGCCUAUUGCAGGUGCUCUAUAAUUAGUUAUCAAUUGAAUAAAAUCAAUUCCCAAUCCCAGGACUCAGGAUCAAAAUCUAUCAAAUGAGGCCAUUUCAGCUAAAUCCUCUGCACCCAAAGAAAUUCUAAAGCAGUCCAGACCUACCCCUUCAAUUAGCAGAUGGGGAACUGAGGCCUGUGCAAUUGCGUGGGGCCACUGCAUGCAAGCAAAGGCACUCAGAUUCUCCUUGGUGAGCUGGAAUGUUAUUUUGGUUAGUUCUGCAGAGCGCGGGCUCUCAAUAGCCAGUCUCUUUCCCAUCUGAGCUGUUUUGUGUAGAGGAAAUAUCAAGGUGUAUGAUGUCAAGGCAGUUAAGUAAUCCAAGCAGCUGUGUAAACAUCUGGAAGUAGUAGAGACACAGCCCCCGAGUGAAAGCAGGGAUCAGUGCACCCAGACGUCUCGGAGAGGCUUCUAAACCAUCACCUGUGAGGAGCCAGCUAGGAGAGCAGUGCUCUGAUCAGAAACCUAAGCAUGCGUUCUUUGCUCUUCAGGCUCUGAGUCGUGGAGGCCAAGGAGGACAAGAAGGCCCCUGUGCCUGGUGUGACUUUGGAAAGUGGAUGUGAGGUUUAGGAAAGUCCUGCUAAUGACAUGUCAGCAGCAGCUGGAAACAAGUUGUCAGAUUCACAGGGAAUUGCCUCUUCUCACUCUUUCCCCAUGGCAGGGAGUGGAGGUGGACUGCCCUGAGCCCAGAUGCCCAAGAGAAAAGGCAGGGGCGUCUAGGGCUUCGCACUGGGAAUCCCCAAUCUGCUUUCUCCUUAGAAGUGAAUAUUCAUGACCCAGAGAGGCCAGUGGCAAAAGGUUCUGCAGGAGCUUCUAGCCCACUGCUCGAGUCCUGGAUGAGGGAAGAGGAGUCCAGAGAAGGAGGCUGCAUGGCCAAGGUCACACAGCUGGGAAGGGAAAGACUCAGAAGCAGGAGCCAAGCUUCCUGACUCCAAAUCCACGCCAGUUUCCCUAUUACCCAAUCGUCCUCUCUCCCUAUUUAAAAUUAUUCUAAUAGUAUUUAUCAUUUCUUUUUUGUAUCUAAUUACAAAGGGAACAUUGUAAGAAAUGUGGAAAACACUCAGAAGCACAAA